rnacentral:tRNA from 1 species
GGGCCUAUAGUGAAGCGGCAUCACGCGUCCAUGGCAUGGACGAAGUCGGGGUUCGACUCCCCGUAGGUCCACCA